UACGUAGGGGGCAAGCGUUAUCCGGAUUUACUGGGUGUAAAGGGUGCGUAGGCGGGCUUUUAAGUCAGCGGUAAAAAUUCGGGGCUCAACCCCGUCCGGCCGUUGAAACUGGGGGCCUUGAGUGGGCGAGAAGAAGGCGGAAUGCGUGGUGUAGCGGUGAAAUGCAUAGAUAUCACGCAGAACCCCGAUUGCGAAGGCAGCCUUCCGGCGCCCUACUGACGCUGAGGCACGAAAGUGCGGGGAUCGAACAGG
rnacentral:rRNA from 1 species